AACAAGGCGUACCUGCGGACCUGCGGAGGGAUCAUUACAGAGUGUAAAAACUCCCAAACCCCUGUGAACGUACCUGUCGUUGCUUCGGCGGAUCGCCCCGGGCGCUGCAAGGUGCCCCGGAGUCAGGCGCCCGCCGGAGGACCACAAACUCUUGUUUUAUACCGGAAUUCUCUGAGUGGCAUGUCUCAUGCAAAAACAAAAUGAAUCAAAACUUUUAACAACGGAUCUCAGAUCGGAAGA
rnacentral:misc_RNA from 1 species